UUGGGAAUCUUGCACAAUGGGGGAAACCCUGAUGCAGCGACGCCGCGUGGACGAUGAAGGCCUUCGGGUUGUAAAGUCCUUUUGCAGAGAAAGACUCAGGACGGUACUCUGCGAAUAAGCUCCGGCUAACUACGUGCCAGCAGCCGCGGUAAGACGUAGGGAGCAAGCGUUGUCCGGAUUUACUGGGCGUAAAGCGCUCGUAGGCGGUCUGUUAAGUGAGAAGUGAAAUCUCCAGGGCUCAACCCGGAAACUGCUUCUCAUACUGGCAGACUUGAGGAAUGAAGAGGUAAGUAGAAUUCCCGGUGUAACGGUGACAUGUGUAGAUAUCGGGAGGAAUACCCAAGGCGAAGGCAGCUUACUGGUCAUUUCCUGACGCUGAGGAGCGAAAGCGUGGGGAGCA
rnacentral:rRNA from 1 species